CAAAUUUGUAACUCAUUUCAACAUUAACUCAAAAGUCUAAAGUCCAAUGUCUCAUCCAAGACAAGGCAAGUCCCUUUUGCCUAUAAGCCUGUAAAAUCAAAAAAUGAAAACCAGUUAAUUAUUUCCUAGAUACAAUGGGGGUACAGACAUUGGGUAAAUACAGCCAUUCCAAAUGGGAGAAAUUUGCCAGAACAAGGGGCUACAGGGCCCAUGCAAGUCCAAAAUCCAGCGGGACAGUCAAAUCUUAAAGAUCCAACAUGAUGUCCUUUGACUCCAUGUCUCACAUCCAGGUCAUGCUGAUGCAAGAGGUCCAUUCCCAUGGUCUUGGGCAACUCUGUCCCUGUGGCUUUGCAAGGUACAGCCUCCCUCGCAGCUGCUUUCACAGGCUGACAUUGAGUGUCUGUAGCUUUUCCACGUGCACAGUGCAAGUUAUCAGUGGAUCUACAGUUCUGGGGUCUAGAGGAUGGUGGCCCUCUUCUCACAGCCCCAAUAGGUGGUGCCCCAGUAGGAACUCUGUGUGGGGACUCCAACCCCAAAUUUCUCUUCUGCAUUGCCCUAGCAGAGGUUCUUCAUGAGGGUUCUACUUCUACAGAAAACUUCUGCCUGGGCAUCCGAGCAUUUCUGUACAUCUUAUGAAAUCUAGGCAGAGGUUCCCAAACCUCAAUUCUUGGCUUCUUUGUACCCGCUGGCUCAGCAUCAUGUGGAAGCUGCCAAGGCUUGGGGCUUUCAUCCUCUGAGGCAACAGCCUGAGCUGUACCUUAGUCUCUUUUAGUCAUGGCUGGAGUGGCUGGGACUCAGGGCAUUAAGUACCUAGACAGCACACAGCAGAAGGACCCUGGGCCUGGCCCACAAAAACAUUUUUAGCUUCUAAAAUUCUGGGCCUGUGAUCGGGGAGGCUGCCGCUAAGUUCUCUGACAUGCCCUGGAGACAUUUUCCCCAUUGUCCUGGUGAUUAACAUUUGGCUCCUUGUUACAUAUGCAAAUUUCUGCUGCCAGCUUGAUGUUCUCUUCAGAAAAUGAGAUUUUCUUUUCUAUUGUAUUGUCAGGGGCUCUGUUUCCCUUUUAAAAUGGAAUGCUGCCUUAAUAGCACCGAAGUCACCUCUUGAAUGCUUUACUGCUUAGAAAUUUCUUCUGCCAGAUACCCUAAAUCAUCUCUCUCAAGUUCAAAGUUUCACAGAUCUCUAGAAAAGGGGCCAAAUGCCACCAGUCUCUUUGCUAAAACAUAACAAGAGUCACCUUUGCUCCAGUUCCCAAUAAGUUCUUCAUGUCCAUCUGAGAGCACCUCAGGCUGGACUUUAUUGUCCAUAUCACUAUCAGCUUUUUGGGCAAAGCCAUUCAACAAGUCUCUAGGAAUUUCCAAACUUUCCCAAAUUUUCCUCUCUUCUUCUGAGCCCUCCAAACUGUUCCAACCCCUGACUGUUACCCAGUUCCAAAGUCACUUCCACAUUUUCGGGCAUCUUUUCAGCAGUGCCCUACUCCACUGGUACCAAUUUAAUGUAUUUGUCUGUUUUCACGUUGCUGAUAAAGACAUAACUAAGACAGUGCAAUUUAUAUAAGAAAAAGGACUUACAGUUAAUGGACUUACAGUUGCACAUGGCUGGGGAGGUCUCACCAUCAUAGCAGAAGGCAAGGAGGAGCAAGUAACGUCUUACAUAGAUGGCAUUAGGCAAACAGCUUGUGCAGGGAAGACAGAAUUGAAAGAAGACCAAUAUGAAGUUAAGAAGACAUUAGCUCUGAUGUACACACUUAAGUAUUUUGUGGAAGGGCAAGUUUAUUUCAAACAAUCAUCUAAUUUUUAUACAAGGACCCUGGAAAUAUUCUGAACUUCAGCACUUUCAUUCAUCAACCCAUGGAUUGAAACUAGCUAAUAUAAGAAACAAAAGGCCUGGUGCAGUGGCUCACGCCUGCAAUCCCAGCACUUUGGGAGGCUGAGGCGGACGAAUCACCAGGUCAAGAGACCGAGACCAUACUGGCCAACAUGGUGAAACCCUGUCUCUACUAAAAAUACAAAAAUUAGCUGGGUGUGGUGGCGGGCGCCUGUAGUACCAGCUACUCGAGAGGCCAAAGCAAGAGAAUCGCUUGAACCCGGGAAGCGGAGGUUGCAGUGAGCCAAGAUCACGCCACUGCACUACAGCCUGGCGAGAGAGCGAGACUCCGUCUCAAAAAAAAAAAAGAAAAAAAAAAAGAAAAAACCCAACAAAACAAAACAAAACAAAACAAAACAAAAAUUAAUGUACUAUUUAGAGUCCACAAAACCUAAGGAAGGUUAUAAGAAUAGGUUCUUGGUUUAGCUUCCGGAAGAGUUCAGGACAUACACUGGAUAUCUUCUCACCUAACGACAAACCCCAAACCAGCGUCUGUUGUGAUCAUGAAACCACUUCUACCACAAAUACCUGGAAUUCAGCUUCUCCUGCAGGCACAUACAUCAAAAUCAGCCUCUUUGAUUUUGUCUAAUUUCUUGUUCUAGGUUCUUAUGUAUUACAGUCAUAUCUGCAUAAUUCUGAAUACUUGACACAAAACUUUGCUGAGAAUCAAAUUCAUAUGAUACAAUUCCCUUCAAAAGAGUUUAGGCUUUGAUCCAUUUUGUGUUGACAUAAAAUAUUACAAAUAUAAAAGUAAAAAGCCAGCAUAUUUUUCACCUUUAAGGUAACAUAUUUUAUGUUUAAUUAGAAAUAUGUCUUCACACUGAAAGUUAAUAACAAUCCUAGAAUAAGAACCAGUGCCAAUUUUUCUAAUGUUCUGAGAUAUGAUUAUCAGAUCCUAUUCAUACAAAUAAAUAUAUCCAUCACAUCAUAUAUGUAUUGUUUGAGAUGAGAGCAUUUAGAGUCUACUUAAACAAUUAGCAAUUGUUAAGCUGACAUUUUUAUCAACUGUAAUCACCAUGCUGUAUAAUAGAUCUCCAAGUCUUAUCUUCCUAACAGAACUUUUGUACAUUUUGACCAACAUCUUCCCAUUCCACCUGCUCUUCCUCAGACCCAAGUACACCCUUCUGCUCUCUGCUUAUAUGAGUUGGACUUUUAUUAGAUUCCACAUAUAAAUAAGAUUAUGCCAUAUUUGUCUUUCUGUGCCUGGCUUAUUUUACUUAGCAUAAUGACACCCAGGUUCAUCCAUGUUGUCACAAAUUAAAAUAUAUAUUUUUCUUUUGCUAAGGCCUAAUAGUAUUCCAUUAUGUAAAUAAACCACAUUUUCUUCAUCCACUUACCUAUUGGUAGACACAUGGGUUGAUUCCAUAUCUUGGCUAAUGUGAAUAAUGCUGAAAUGAACGUGGAAGUGCAGAUCUUCAGCAUAUUGAUUUCAUUACCUUUGGCUCUAUGCCCAGAAGAGAGAAUCCCAAAAUAUAAAGAAAUUUUAUUUUUUAUUUCUGAGAAAAUUAUGUUGCUGUUUUCCAUAACUGCUGUAUUAAUUUACACUGUACCAACAUUGUACAAAAGUUUCCUUUUCUUCACAUUCUCACCAACACUUGUUUUCUUUUGUCUUUUUGAUAAAAGCUAUUCUAACAAAUGUGAGAUGACAUCUCACUGUGAUUUUAAUUUUCAUUUCCCUGAUGAUUAGCGAUGUUGAGCAUUUUUUCAUAUAACUGUGGAACAUUUGUAUGUAUUCUUUGGAGAAGUGUCUAUUCAGGUCAAUUGCCCAUUUUCUAAUUUUCUUAAAUUAUUGAGUUCCUUAUGUAUUUUGAAUAUC
rnacentral:lncRNA from 10 species